GGCUCACUAGCUCAGUUGGUCGAGCAAAGCACUUAAACUCCUUGGGUCGGCGGUUCGCUCCCGUCCUGAGCCA
rnacentral:tRNA from 1 species